rnacentral:rRNA from 1 species
AGCGAACGCUGGCGGCAGGCUUAACACAUGCAAGUCGAGCGCCGUAGCAAUACGGAGCGGCAGACGGGUGAGUAACGCGUGGGAACGUACCUUCUGGUUCGGAAUAACUCAGGGAAACUUGAGCUAAUACCGGAUAAGCCCUUCGGGGAAGAUUUAUCGCCGGAAGAUCGGCCCGCGUAAGAUUAGCUAGUUGGUGAGGUAAUGGCUCACCAAGGCUACGAUCUUUAGCUGGUCUGAGAGGAUGAUCAGCCACAUUGGGACUGAGACACGGCCCAAACUCCUACGGGAGGCAGCAGUGGGGAAUAUUGGACAAUGGGCGCAAGCCUGAUCCAGCCAUGCCGCGUGAGUGAUGAAGGCCUUAGGGUUGUAAAGCUCUUUUAGCAGGGACGAUAAUGACGGUACCUGCAGAAAAAGCCCCGGCCAACUUCGUG